CCGGAGUCUCCAAAUUUCAGCAUUUCUUUUCUGUGUUAUCAGAUAAACCCGUUGUUGGCGAUGAGUUUCUAGCCCAGUUUCUCCAAAACUAUGAAAUUGAAGAUGAUAUUAAAAUGCUGUUGGAGAUGCCAGCAAAUGGAGAAAAAGAAAUGACAGGAAAGGAAGAUGUGUGUCAAGCUCCUUCACGAGAGCUAGCUUUCUUUGAAGUGUCAGAUUGGAAGCUGAAUGAUCAGGAGGCAGAGAAAACAUCGCUGGUUCCUGAGCGGGACCAGGAUGGAAUGUGGGAAUCAAGAACAGAGAAGAAACUCAGGAAAACUCGCCACCAUGGCCGGAAAAAGGUAAUCUCGCACCAUAAAAAGAGGCGACAGUUUCUCAAAAUGUUGUACGAAACAAUGGAAGAAGUGAAGAGCUGUGAAGAACUUGUUUCAAAUAUGCUACAUGCUCUGAAAUGACCACUGCUUGUAGAAGAUCAGCCACUGGAAAUAUUCGUGGACUUCCUUUCAUUGACUCAAGAUUUCAGAGUUUGCAACACUGUGAAUACAUGUUUCUUUUGUCUACCUCGACCUGGGCUUACUUGUCACCAGCGCCAUUAGAGGUCUGACGGCCGCAUCGAAAUUUGAGAAAUGAUGUUUUAAAGGCAACUGCAAUUGUGAUAAGUGGAGAGUCCAAUGAAUAUACGGUGUUGUUAUAAGAGGUUGUACCAAAAGGUGUCUUGAUGUUCAAUGAUUAUUGUAUCUGUAAAUAAAAUGUAUUAUUUUGAUAUGUGGCUGGAUUGU
rnacentral:lncRNA from 1 species